rnacentral:ribozyme from 1 species
UGCCCAGCAACUCCUAUCCCUACCUCCACGUGGAACUGGCCGGGGUACGAGUAACCUUAGGGAAAAUCAAGUAAUUAACCCCGGUGGGCAUUUUAGUCGUAUGCUGACAGGGAAGG